UCUGAAGGCUUACAUAGACAUCGGAAAGGAU
rnacentral:piRNA from 1 species